rnacentral:rRNA from 1 species
AGUGAACGCUGGCGGUAGGCCUAACACAUGCGAGUCGAACGGCAGCACAGGAGAGCUUGCUCUCUGGGUGGCGAGUGGCGGACGGGUGAGGAAUACAUCGGAAUCUACUUUUUCGUGGGGGAUAACGUAGGGAAACUUACGCUAAUACCGCAUACGACCUGCGGGUGAAAGCAGGGGAUCUUUGGACCUUGCGCGAUUGAAUGAGCCGAUGUCGGAUUAGCUAGUUGGCGGGGUAAAGGCCCACCAAGGCGACGAUCCGUAGCUGGUCUGAGAGGAUGGUCAGCCACACUGGAAAUGAGACACGGUCCAGACUCCUACGGGAGGCAGCAGUGGGGAAUAUUGGACAAUGGGCGCAAGCCUGAUCCAGCCAUACCGCGUGGGUGAAGAAGGCCUUCGGGUUGUAAAGCCCUUUUGUUGGGAAAGAAAUCCAGCUGGUUAAUACCCGGUUGGGAUGACGGUACCCAAAGAAUAAGCACCGGCUAACUUCGUGCCAGCCGCCGCUGUAA